UGGUAAACUCAUUUUUAUUUGAAACUUGUGAACUGUUCGUCCUCCGUUCGUGUUGCAUUGCGCUACUUAUAGGCUCAGUGUGACUCUUCGUCUCUGCAUAAAAAAGUGAAACAAUUUUAGACAAGUUUAAUAGAAGUAGACUUUAACUGUGAUGAUAUAAUAACCAACGGCCUUCUUUUCUCAAUGUUUUAGGUCUAAUUGGCCAAUAUCCAAAUUGCUAUCCACAAACGACCACUCCACGACCAACACCGCAGCCCCAAUGCCCACCAGGCUACCUAGGAAACUACCCCAACUGUUUCCUUCCGACCACGACCACAGAAAAAACAUUCACCGGAUACACAUACUUGCCACCAAAAAUCCCUUUUAACUACUAAACUAAAAAGCUAGAGUCGACAAUUAAACAAAAGGAACCGUAACACGAUAUUAAAUUUGUGGGAGAGCUGCUUUUAUUGAUGAAUGAGAUUGAUUUUUCUAUUAUACUAUUUAAGACGAGAAACAUUUUAUCAAUCUGAUAUGGGAGUGUUCGACAUCAAAUUGUAGACAAUUGUAAAAUAUCCAGUCAUUUUUUUACCGUACAAUGUGAAGCAGAUAGAGAAAAAAAAACAAGCAAACAGUGAUUCUUUGUGUCCUGUAAAAGAAGAAAAAGAAAGGGGAGGACCAAUUCGAAUAAAAAAAUAUAAAAAAUUUAAA